CCUUGGUAGCGCAGCUAACGCGUGAAGUUGACCGCCUGGGGAGUACGGUCGCAAGAUUAAAACUCAAAGGAAUUGACGGGGACCCGCACAAGCGGUGGAUGAUGUGGAUUAAUUCGAUGCAACGCGAAAAACCUUACCUACCCUUGACAUGUCUGGAAUGCCGAAGAGAUUUGGCAGUGCUCGCAAGAGAACCGGAACACAGGUGCUGCAUGGCUGUCGUCAGCUCGUGUCGUGAGAUGUUGGGUUAAGUCCCGCAACGAGCGCAACCCUUGUCAUUAGUUGCUACGAAAGGGCACUCUAAUGAGACUGCCGGUGACAAACCGGAGGAAGGUGGGGAUGACGUCAAGUCCUCAUGGCCCUUAUGGGUAGGGCUUCACACGUCAUACAAUGGUCGGGACAGAGGGUCGCCAACCCGCGAGGGGGAGCCAAUCCCAGAAACCCGAUCGUAGUCCGGAUCGCAGUCUGCAACUCGACUGCGUGAAGUCGGAAUCGCUAGUAAUCGCGGAUCAGCAUGUCGCGGUGAAUACGUUCCCGGGUCUUGUACACACCGCCCGUCACACCAUGGGAGUGGGUUUUACCAGAAGUAGUUAGCCUAACCGCAAGGGGGGCGAUUACCACGG
rnacentral:rRNA from 1 species